rnacentral:rRNA from 1 species
UACGGAGGGUGCGAGCGUUAAUCGGAAUUACUGGGCGUAAAGGGUGCGUAGGUGGUUUGAUAAGUUAGCUGUGAAAGUCCUGGGCUUAACCUAGGGAGGUCAGCUAAGACUGUUAGACUUGAGUCUAGGAGAGGGUAGUGGAAUUUCCGGUGUAGCGGUGAAAUGCGUAGAGAUCGGAAGGAACACCAGUGGCGAAGGCGGCUACCUGGCCUAAGACUGACACUGAGGCACGAAAGCGUGGGGAGCAAAC